GGCAAUACAGUGUGACGUCAUGCAAAAAGUGUACUACAAAACAAAAUUCUUCCGCAACCUCUUUAUGAAACCGUUUUCGGUUUGAAGCCAUGAAACUAAACAUAAUACGCUAUUUUGUCAAUUUCAUGCAUGUAAGAUGUGGGCAAUAAGUGAAAUGCCACACUCGGUCUCAUUACAUACGAAGUAUACCAAACAAGUG